rnacentral:rRNA from 2 species
CGUCCUAUUAGCUAGUUGGUGAGGUAAUGGCUCACCAAGGCUACGAUGGGUAGGGGUUCUUAGUGGAAGGUCCCCCACACUGGCACUGAGAUACGGGCCAGACUCCUACGGGAGGCAGCAGUAGGGAAUAUUGGUCAAUGGGCGCAAGCCUGAACCAGCCAUGCCGCGUGCAGGAUGAAGGCUCUCUGAGUUGUAAACUGCUUUUGUACAGGAGCAAAAAAAUCCCUGCGGGGGUUCUUGAGAGUACUGUAAGAAUAAGCACCGGCUAAUUCCGUGCCAGCAGCCGCGGUAAUACGGGAGGUGCAAGCGUUAUCCGGUUUUAUUGGGUUUAAAGGGUGCGUAGGCGGCUUAUUAAGUCAGUUGUGAAAUCCUAGUGCUUAACGCUAGAACUGCGAUUGGUACUAUU